GCUGGAUUAGCUCAGAGGUAGAGCGCUCCCUUGGUAAGGGAGAGGUCGGCGGUUCAAAUCCGCCAUUCAGCACCA
rnacentral:tRNA from 1 species